CGCUGCUCCCCGCUGCGGGCAGAUGCGUCCUCGCCAACCUUCAGUCCCAGGAUCGCAGUGAGUUUUUCCAAUAUGAAAAUGGUUUCAUUUCUUUCCCCCUAAUCCAUCUUUUUCCUUCGUCCUUCCUCGCUCAUUCCUCGCUUUUCUUGGCUUUAAACCCGGUCCCCUGAAGAGCCAGGUGGUUCCGGCAGCCUCUCCGCGCUCCCGCCUGCCGGAUCCGCCCCAGUGCAGCCCUGGAACCCGCUUUCCCGACCCUCGGGGCGCGCCCCAAGGACCCGCGCGCCCUCACCCCCGCCGGCCCUGCGGCCCCGGGCCACGGAUGUCGCCUCGGAUCCCACCGAAAACCGCCAAGACGCUUUUCUUUGCCUUCCAGAAUCCGAUUCCGAUUGGGUCCUCUGGAAUUGUCUCUGUCAUGGUUGAGAAGACUUAUGAGAGAUAUACUUGGAUUCCUGGUUUCUCUGUAUUAGAACUUGUAGAUGUAGAAUUUGGGGUGAUGCAAUUAAAACAUUUUCUCAAUUUUUAUUUGAGUGGUUCUAUUUCCAUUUGGGGCAUUUCUUUUUAAAAGUUUUUAGAAAUAAAGUAUACCUGACAUUCAAUGUUAUUUUAGUUGACACAACAUAGUGAUUCAAUAAUUCUAUCCAUUGCACAAUGCUCUCUUUGAUAAGUUUCCAGCUGUCACCAUACAACAUUUUUAGGAUAUUUUUUACUAACAUUCCUUGUGUUGUACUUUUCAUCUCCAUGACCUGAUUUGUUUUAUUAGGGGAAUUCCUAUUUUUUAAAGUUUCAGAAAUCUUCUGAAGAUGAGGGCAUAAAAAGUCUGAUGGUAAAUGUAUUAAUGAUUGAUAGAAGCAUUUGCAUGGAGUGUCUAUAUGAAACUCUGAUAAAAAGCUGAAAUGUCAGAACUACACAAUAUCCACCAUCAAGUAUCUUAUAAAAAUGUAUUUGGUAGUGUCUUGCUCACAUUAACUUGCUAGCCUUUCAUGAAAUGUCAAAUCUUGCUUAAACUUUAUUUGUAUUACCAGUGAAAUUUUUGAUCUCUGGUGAUGACUGAUGUUACCUGAAGUCAUUAAUACAUUCAUCACAUUCAUAGAUUUUCUAGGUAGUAUAAGUUAUCAAUACUAAAAAAGAUUGUACUCUGGGGGUACAUAGAUGGUGCAGUCAGUUGAGUGCCUGAUUCUUGAUUUUGACUCAGGUCAUGACGUCUGGGUCGUGGAAUUGAGCCCCACAUAGGCUCCACACUCAACACAGAGAUUCUCUCUGUCCUCCCCCCCCUCCAUUCUCUCCUAAAAUAAAUAAAUAAAUAUUUAUUUUUUAAAAAAGGAUUGUAUGCUGGCUGAAGUCUUUCUCAGACUGACUACAACCAUAAGGUCUUUCUGCAGCAUUCAGUCUUCUGAUUUUCAUGAUACUUAUGCUCUGGGUAAAGAUUUUGCCAUGUUUACCACAAUCAUAGGGCUUCUCUUCAGUGUGGGUUAUCUGAUGUGUGUUAAGAUGUGAACUCUGGCUGAAGGAUUUUCCACAUUCAUUGUUUAUAAGGCUUUUUCCAGUGUGAAUUACCUGAUAUAAGGUAAGGCGUGAACUCUAGCUGAAGGCUCUCCCACACUGAUUAUACCUGUAGGGUUUUUCUACAAUAUGAGUUCUGUCCUGACUUCUGACAGCAAAGUGGUCACUCCAGGCCUUCCUACAAUCAACACAUUCAUAAGGUUUUUCUCUGAUGAUGAGUCAGGGAUGAGUUUUGGCCAAAAGCCAAAAAGACUCAUUACCUUGAUAGGGUUUCUUUCCAUUGUGUAUUUCCGGGUGUGAAUAAGAGCUGAAUGGAUUUAGAAGGCUUUCUCAAAUUCAUUAUACUUAUGGGGUUUCUCUCCAGUGUAUACUCUUCUGUUUAAUAAGUGAUAAGCUAGGGCUGGAACUUUUCACACUCAUAGGGUUCCUCGCCAGUGUGGGUUCUCUGAUGUUUAAUAAGAGAAGAGUUCUGACUGAAAGUUUUUGCACAAUCAUUGCAUUUAAAGGAUUUCUCUCCACCGUGGCUUUUCUGAUGCUGAGUAAAGGUUAGAUUGUCACUGAAGACUUUCCAAUUAUUACAUUCAGAAAA
rnacentral:lncRNA from 1 species